rnacentral:rRNA from 1 species
CGGAGGGUCAUUAAAGAGUUCUAUAACUCCCAAACCCAUGUGAACAUACCUAACGUUGCCUCGGCAGGUCGCACCUACCUUGUAGCACCCUACCCUGUAGGGCCUACCCGGGAGAUGCGGGUAAGCCUGCCGGCGGCCCACCAAACUCUGUUUGAUAUUGAAUUCUGAACAUAUAACUAAAUAAGUUAAAACUUUCAACAACGGAUCUCUUGGUUCUGGCAUCGAUGAAGAACGCAGCGAAAUGCGAUAAGUAAUGUGAAUUGCAGAAUUCAGUGAAUCAUCGAAUCUUUGAACGCAUAUUGCGCCCAUUAGUAUUCUAGUGGGCAGGACCGUUCGAGCGUCAUUUCGACCCUUAAGCCUUAGUUGCUUAGUGUUGGGAGCCUACGGCAACGUAGCUCCUCAAAGUUAGUGGCGGAGUUGGUUCACACUCUAGACGUAGUAAUUUUUUAUCUCGCCUAUUAGUUGGACUGAUCCCCUGCCGUAAAACCCCCAACUUAUCAAGGUUGACCUCGAAUCGGUUCAGACAAACUCGCUAAAUUGAAGCAUCUUAGUCAGCGAAGGAAAAGAAACCAACAGGGAUUGCCCUAGUAACGGCGAGUGAAGCGGCAACAGCUCAAAUUUGA